rnacentral:rRNA from 1 species
UACGAAGGGGGCUAGCGUUGUUCGGAAUCACUGGGCGUAAAGCGCACGUAGGCGGAUUGUUAAGUCGGGGGUGAAAUCCUGAGGCUCAACCUCAGAACUGCCUUCGAUACUGGCAAUCUCGAGUCCGGAAGAGGUUGGUGGAACAGCUAGUGUAGAGGUGAAAUUCGUAGAUAUUAGCUAGAACACCAGUGGCGAAGGCGGCCAACUGGUCCGGCCACUGACGCUGAGGUGCGAAAGCGUGGGGAGCAAACAGG